rnacentral:rRNA from 1 species
UACGUAGGGGGCAAGCGUUGUUCGGAUUCAUUGGGCGUAAAGGGCGCGUAGGCGGCGAGGUAAGUCGGGUGUGAAAUCUCAGAGCUCAACUCUGAAACUGCACUCGAUACUGCUUUGCUAGAGGACUGGAGAGGAGAUUGGAAUUCACGGUGUAGCAGUGAAAUGCGUAGAUAUCUGGAGGAACACCGGUGGCGAAGGCGGCAUCCUGGACCAACACUGACGCUGAGGGAG